AAUGGUCGAAUCUGUGGGUUAGAAUAAUAAAUGAAAGCGACUUGUUAAGAGGUUACAUAGUUGGUAUUUUUGUACAAUAUCCCCGGGUAAAGAGUCAGUGUGACGAUGCUUUUGCCUACUGGGGAAAAGGAACCAUGGUCACUGUCUCGUCAGCUCAACCAUCUCCGCCGAAGUCAAUCUUCGGCCUGUCUCAGUGUUCUUCUGAUUCUGAGUUCCUCACCAUCGGCUGCGUGUCAAGAGGUUUCUCCCCCGCGGACUCGCUUACUUUCAAAUGGACGGAUCCCGCUAAGAAAGAGGUGACUGAUUUCGUGCAGUAUCCAGCGUUCGGGAGUGAAGGAGACUAUACCAAAAUCAGCCAUCUGCGUGUGAAAAAAAGCGACUGGAAUCUUCAAAAACCUUACACAUGUGAAGCUUCAAAUUCGAAAGGCACUCUAAAAACUGAAACAGUUAAACCAGCCCCACCGCCAGAUCAGCCUGCAACUGUCUACUUAACAGUACCUACACAAAAGGAUUUAGAAAAUGGAACAGCAACCUUCUUGUGUUUAGCCCAGCAGUUUUCACCUAAAAAAUAUUCGUUUAAGUGGUUUAAGGAUGGUCAGCAGGUGGCAAAUACAAUAAACACCUAUGACACAAGUGAGAAGAAUGGCUCAGUAACCUUAUAUAGCGCCACAAGCAGUUUGCAAAUCAGUGCCGAAGAAUGGAAGCCAGCCGCCAAAAUCAAGUGCGAGUUUGAGCACAAGACGGGAAAAGAAGUCAGAGAGGCCGCAUAUACAGAUAUUACUGAUGACUGCACCAAUGUUGCUGCUGUUAUAGUCCCCCCGUCCCUUGAAGACAUGCUGAAAAAUAGAGAAGGAACGCUGACGUGCAAAGCUUCAGGAGCAAAUCCAGGAUUCACCAAAAUAGAGAUAAAAGCAAAUAAUUUUGUCAUCGCUGAGGCAUCGGAGGCACAUUUCAAGAACAAAAUAAAGGUGGAGCUUGAAGCCCCUAUAGGCUACGAAGAAUGGAGCAACGGCACAGUAUUUACGUGCACAGUUGAACACACAAAACUACCACAGCCCAUGGAGACUACGUUCAAAAGAGAAAAUGGUGCGAGACCCAAGAGACCCUCUGUUUACCUGUUAGCACCCCCAGAGCACAAAGAGGGUGAAACGAUGACCCUGACAUGUUAUGUGAAGGAUUUCUACCCCAAAGAGGUGUUUGUGUCUUGGCUUGCUGAUGAUGAACCUGUGAUUUUUAAGUCCAAAACUAGCCUGCCAGUGCAGGAUGAUGAAUACUUCUCCGUCUACAGUCAGAUCACAGUCAGUUAUUCUGAGUGGAAGAGCGGUAUAGUGUACAGUUGUGUUGUGUUCCAUGAAAGCAUUGAUGAAAAAAUGCGCGUACUGACAAGAUCUAUUGAUGAUCAUAUCGAUAAGCCAGGUGUAAUUAAUCUAAGUAUGAAUACCCCUGCAUCCUGCAAGGACUAGAUCGUUAUGCAUGUGAUGUCUUCCUGUUAUGCCUGUUAAGUGUUUAACUUGUUCAUCUUGUGUUUCUUUUUGUUCUUGAGUUACAUGUCCAUAAUUGUAAGUGUGUUUGUCUUUAAUGUUUGUGGCUUCUUGCUUUUUGAGAUAUUUUCAUGCACAUAAUUUAGGAAAAGACUAAUAAAAAAAGAAACUAAGCAUA